GAUGAACGCUGGCGGCGUGCCUAAUACAUGCAAGUCGAGCGAACGGACGAGAAGCUUGCUUCUCUGAUGUUAGCGGCGGACGGGUGAGUAACACGUGGAUAACCUACCUAUAAGACUGAGAUAGUCUCGGGAAACCGGAGCAAACCGGGGAAAAUAUUUUGAAGCGCAGGGUUAAAAAGUAAAAGACGGUCGUGCUGUCACUUAUAGAUGGAUCCGCGCUGCAUUAGCUAGUUGGUAAGGUAACGGCUUACCAAGGCAACGAUGCAUAGCCGACCUGAGAGGGUGAUCGGCCACACUGGAACUGAGACACGGUCCAGACUCCUACGGGAGGCAGCAGUAGGGAAUCUUCCGCAAUGGGCGAAAGCCUGACGGAGCAACGCCGCGUGAGUGAUGAAGGUCUUCGGAUCGUAAAACUCUGUUAUUAGGGAAGAACAUAUGUGUAAGUAACUGUGCACAUCUUGACGGUACCUAAUCAGAAAGCCACGGCUAACUACGUG
rnacentral:rRNA from 1 species